GACGAACGCUGGCGGCGUGCCUAACACAUGCAAGUCGAGCGGAGACAGUGAGUAGCUUGCUAUGAGCUGUUUUAGCGGCGGACGGGUGAGUAACGCGUGAGCAACCUUUCCCAGACAGGGGAAUAACACACCGAAAGGUGUACUAAUACCGCAUAAGACCACGGGAUCACAUGGUUCUGAGGUAAAAGAUUUAUCGGUUUGGGGUGGGCUCGCGUCCGAUUAGGUAGUUGGUGAGGUAACGGCCCACCAAGCCGACGAUCGGUAGCCGACCUGAGAGGGUGAUCGGCCACAUUGGGACUGAGACACGGCCCAAACUCCUACGGGAGGCAGCAGUGGGGAAUAUUGGGCAAUGGGGGGAACCCUGACCCAGCAACGCCGCGUGGAGGAAGAAGGUUUUCGGAUCGUAAACUCCUGUCCUUGGAGACGAGUAGAAGACGGUAUCCAAGGAGGAAGCCCCGGCUAAC
rnacentral:rRNA from 1 species